GUAUUGUGCUAUGGGGCUUCGUUGGGUUGAAUUGGAUUUUUAUGGCUUGCUUCCGCCUCUAUUUUAAGAGUUGCAUAUGGUAGAGUGCGUAUCAAAAGUCUGGCACGUUGUGAGGCUUACACACAUAAUCCACGACUUAAAAAAUGUUCCUCAUUGUAUAUAUGGUCUUAGCUCUUCUCAAAUGGACAUGUCAUGACAGAAGAUAACCCAAUAAGUUAGCAAGCAUAAAAAGUGCCACAUAGUUCUUCUUGAUUUGCAGCUUCUUUUAAUCAAAGUACUGGAAUUGUGGUUCUUAGUUGGUUAAUGUUUAUUAUUUACUUGUGUUAAUAUACUCUUUUUUGUAGGAAACGGUCACGUAAUUACUUGAAUCAUGCAGAAAUUUGGGGUUUACCUGAAUGAAUGAUAUGGGUCCUGUAAAAUACUAUUUUAAUUGUGAGCAUGUAUCGUGGUGGACGUAGAGCAACUAGAAGACCUAGAAGUGCUCCACCCGAUUUGCUACUGUUGAGUGAGAUAUCACUAUGAUGUGCCAGAUCGGAGACUUGCUCAACAUAUUGACAAAUGAAACGAAAACGUGUGGUUAAAAAUCAAAUAAGCUCCAGAAAAGGUGAAAGAUACCAUUUGCCUAUGAAUUAGCAAAAUGGUUAGGUGUCAGAACUCCACAAGUUACUAUACCUUCAACUUUCUUUUCACCAGAUUUAUGGUCCCCGCAAACAUCAUACAUUCUUAUUGUUUUGUAACUUUUGCAGGCUAGAGUCAUUCACAAUUGUAGUCCUGAGUGGUUAAAACACAAAUUGUCAUUAUUUGUGAAAUAAAAUAAAAACCAAACUGAGAGACCAUGCUACUUUUAUUAGUCAAAUUGUCAUUAUUUGUGUGAACGAGGCACCAUGGUAUUAUUAUUUUUAGGGCUAGCGAGCUGCUUAUUUGUUGGAUCGGUAG